rnacentral:ncRNA from 10 species
UACGUUCAUCAUAUAGCAAUAUAUGACGGAAGUAAGCAACCUGAAAACCUCUUACAUUUGUAAGGCAAGCAAGUACCGAAAGGGAACGAGACCGAAAGUUGACUGAAGGAACGCGUU